UUCCCAUAGAGACACAACAUAUAGAUCAAUCUGUUGAUUCAUAUGGCCAUUUUGGUUGGCUUGGUUGAAUUGACAAUCAUCCAUUCAAGAUGCUAAAGAAUCAUAUACUAUGGAAGGUCCUUGAGAGUAAAUGCCAGUGUAUUCUAUGGCUGCCAUGAGUACAUGCCUUUCUGUCUCCUCAGUCUGGAAGGGUGACUCGGCUGAUAGAGAAAAUAUGAUGAGGUGAACUCGUCCUCCUAUUCUGAGGACUUUUCCAUCUACUCCUUCACUGACUGUGAAUCUGAGGUAAAAGAGUUGUACCCUACCGUCCUUGUCUUUGUUGAGUGACAUCACUGUGAGGAGGAUGGUCUCUGACAAGUUGACUGAUACCCAGUGUGAUGAUGAGGAUCAUGUAAGGAGGACACCACCGCUGAAAGUUAAGGAUGAGGAGGAUAUAAAAGGUAACAAAGCUUGAAGUGAGUUAUAUGGUAGAAGACGACGAUCUGUCUCUCCACUCCUACGACGAGUCAGACUUCCUGCUUGAUGAUGGCAAUGACGCCUCUACUGAGGACAGUCCAGAGCCUCCAAAGGAACCACAAGGACCAGUGAAGGACCAUCGACUGAGCCCAGGGAAGGUCUCUGGUCCUGUGUCUGGCAAGACUGGCCUCUCUCCUUGAGACCUCAGCACACCGGACCCUGGCUGAAGCCCUACGGGCCCUGCCCUCUGCUGUGGCCCCUCCCUCCCCAGAUAAUGUCCCAAGGCCUCUGACUCCUCUCAGCCCUGUAGUUAUCACUCCGUCCUCUACAGAGAACUUCCCAUACCGCCGCAGCCCUCGGCUGGCCCCCAUAACCAACCUGAGUGUAGCCGCCCCCACAGGUGAGAGGAAAUACAAGAAGGGUAUAUUUCCCGGAAGUCCUAGGUAUAGUAGCUCAAGAGAAGAGAAAACCCAUAAGCUUACAUUACUUUAUCUCCUUGUCCAAAAUAUUCAGGAAGGGAAGGUCAAUAAGAAAAAGAAGUGCAAGGCCAAAAAAGUAGUUAAGCAAAAGAAGGCCGGUAAGAUGCAACAGAUGGAAAAUGUUGGAGGAAGUAAGGAGGAGGACAAGAGGAGGAAAUAGAGGGAGAAGUGGAACAUAACCAGGGAAUACUAGACUAGAAAAUUCUAGAAAUAGAAUGAGGUAGCAGAGAAAGAGCAGCUAUCUGAGGUGCCUUAAUACUAUUAUUAACUGGUUACCAAUGUAAUUAGAGCAGUAAAAAUAAUGUUUUGUCAUACCCGUAGUAUAUUGUUGUAAACACACACACAGAUUUUGAGUAUUGGUUACUCCUACAACACACACAAAUGUAAUUUCAGAGACAGGAACUAUGAUUAGCAAAUACUUAUAUUGGUCUCGUUCUUAUAUUUUGAGACAUGCAUCAUUCUUAAAAAAAUAUAUAUAUUGGUCCCCAUACUGCCUAGCCAGGUGGCUUGUGAUAAUGAGUUGGAUUUACAUAGUGCUUAGAAGCGCUUUCACAUUCUUAGGCUUGGAAAUAUAGCCAGGAGAAGCAGGGUCAACACCUCUACUCAUGCCAUAAGUGCCAUGACAUAUUUAGUAACCACAGAGAGAUAAGACCUCUGUCUCCACAUUCUCAUCCAAAGGACAGCACCAACCUUAGGGCAGUGUCACUGGUAUUGGGGUCUUAGGUCUCAUUUGGACAAAGGGAAGAGAAGAUGCCCUUUACUGGUCUCCUUGCAAUAUCUGGUCUCCCACACAGAGAUGGAAACCUACACCUGUUUAGACCCUGGAGGAUAUGGCUUCAGAUGAAAGACAGCAGAGAGAUGCAGAACGUAAAAGCUUCAAACACAAUGAUAUGCAAAUUCAGGACCAUUGUACUCUUAAGUGGAGCAUGCAUCUGGUCUGAAGCAUGUCAAAAGAGUAGAAAUGAAUUGGGACUGGAGGAAUACAUCACAUGUAAACUAAAUUAGCAUGUAUCUAAUUUAGAUACACUCAUCUGUACUUUUUUGUUUGAAAUGGGACUUUCCAAUAAAGCUUUUUAAAUUCCAA